AGUGAACGCUGGCGGUAGGCCUAACACAUGCAAGUCGAACGGCAGCACAGUAAGAGCUUGCUCUUACGGGUGGCGAGUGGCGGACGGGUGAGGAAUACAUCGGAAUCUACUUUUUCGUGGGGGAUUACGCAGGGAAACUUACGCUAAUACCGCAUACGUCCUACUGGUUAAAGCAGUGGAUCUUCGGACCUUGCGCGAUUGAAUGUGCCGAUGUCGGCUUAGCUCGUUGGCGGGGUAAAGGCCCACCAAGACGACGAUCCGUAGCUAGUCUGCGAGGAUGAUCAGCCAAACUGGGACGAAGACACGGUCCACACUGCUGCGGGAGGCAACGGUGGGGAAUAUUGGACAGUGGGGGCAGGCCUAGUCCAGCCAUACCGCGUGGGUGAAGAAGACCUUCGGGUUGUAAAGCCCUUUUGUUGGGAAAGAAAAGCGGCAGAUUAAUACCCCGCUGUUCUGACGGUACCCAAAGAAUAAGCACCGGCUAACUUCGUG
rnacentral:rRNA from 1 species